UUGGAAAGAGCAAACCAUGAUCUGGGGUAA
rnacentral:piRNA from 2 species